UUUAUUUCAGACAUAAUAAUUUUAAAAGGUAUCAUUUGUGACAUGAUUAUCAAAGAUAUUAAUGGUUCUGUUGAUUUUAACUUCAACAAAUCAUUUUUAUUUAAGGGUAGACGUUUUAAAAGACAACAAAUCAUUUUAGACAUAAUAAUAAUCGAUUACACAAUUUAUAAUAAUCGAUUACACAAUUUCUCUGAUUUAUCUUCUUGACAAUAAAUCCUAGUUUGUUGUGACAUAACAAUUUGAUAUGGAU
rnacentral:lncRNA from 1 species